AGGACGAACGCUGGCGGCGUGCCUAAUACAUGCAAGUCGAACGGUCUUUCUAUGGAAGCUUGCUUCCACUGAGAAGAUAGUGGCGAACGGGUGAGUAACACGUGGGUAACCUGCCCAUAAGAGGGGGGAUAACAUCCGGAAACGGGUGCUAAUACCGCAUAGUUUUCUUGAUCGCAUGAUCGGGAAAGGAAAGACGGCCUUUGUGCUGUCGCUUAUGGAUGGACCCGCGGCGUAUUAGUUAGUUGGUGAGGUAACGGCUCACCAAGACGAUGAUACGUAGCCGACCUGAGAGGGUGAUCGGCCACAUUGGGACUGAGACACGGCCCAAACUCCUACGGGAGGCAGCAGUAGGGAAUCUUCCGCAAUGGACGAAAGUCUGACGGAGCAACGCCGCGUGAGUGAAGAAAAGGUUUUCGGAUCGUAAAACUCUGUUGUCAGAGAAGAACAAGUUGGAGAGUAACUGCUCCAGCCUUGACGGUAUCUGACCAGAAAGCCACGGCUAACUACGUGCCAGCAGCCGC
rnacentral:rRNA from 1 species